GGGGGAUAUUGCGCAAUGGGGGCAACCCUGACGCAGCAACGCCGCGUGAAGGAUGAAGGUUUUCGGAUUGUAAACUUCUUUUAUUAAGGACGAAAAAUGACGGUACUUAAUGAAUAAGCUCCGGCUAACUACGUGCCAGCAGCCGCGGUAAUACGUAGGGAGCAAGCGUUGUCCGGAUUUACUGGGUGUAAAGGGUGCGUAGGCGGCUUUGCAAGUCAGAUGUGAAAUCUAUGGGCUCAACCCAUAAACUGCAUUUGAAACUGUAGAGCUUGAGUGAAGUAGAGGCAGGCGGAAUUCCCCGUGUAGCGGUGAAAUGCGUAGAGAUGGGGAGGAACACCAGUGGCGAAGGCGGCCUGCUGGGCUUUAACUGACGCUGAGGCACGAAAGCGUGGGUAGCAAACAGGAUUAGAUACCCUGGUAGUCCACGCUGUAAACGAUGAUUACUAGGUGUGGGGGGUCUGACCCCUUCCGUGCCGGAGUUAACACAAUAAGUAAUCCACCUGGGGAGUACGGCCGCAAGGUUGAAACUCAAAGGAAUUGACGGGGGCCCGCACAAGCAGUGGAGUAUGUGGUUUAAUUCGAAGCAACGCGAAGAACCUUACCAGGUCUUGACAUCCAACUAACGAAGUAGAGAUACAUUAGGUGCCCUUCGGGGAAAGUUGAGACAGGUGGUGCAUGGUUGUCGUCAGCUCGUGCCGUGAGAUGUUGGGUUAAGUCCCGCAACGAGCGCAACCCUUGCUAUUAGUUGCUACGCAAGAGCACUCUAAUAGGACUGCCGUUGACAAAACGGAGGAAGGUGGGGACGACGUCAAAUCAUCAUGCCCCUUAUGACCUGGGCUACACACGUACUACAAUGGAUGUUAACAGAGGGAAGCAAGACAGCGAUGUGGAGCAAACCCCUAAAAACAUUCUCAGUUCAGAUUGCAGGCUGCAACCCGCCUGCAUGAAGAUGGAAUUGCUAGUAAUCGCGGAUCAGCAUGCCGCGGUGAAUACGUUCCCG
rnacentral:rRNA from 1 species